GAAAUGUAUCACUGUGCUUGGGGACUGGAGUACCACAAUGAUAUAAACAACAUAGGGCCCUGUACAAAAACCCAAAGAAUGAAAAAAGACAAUAUAUUUCAGGGAAGAAAGGAGUUUCAGAAGAAAAUAUGAUUCUGGAUAUCCUCAUGGGGCUGUACAUGUGUAUAAUUAGAAUAUAUAUCCGUGUUUUCAUCUCCUGUUUUCACAACACUUUUGAAUACCAUGAAGAAAGCGUUAUUUAUUGGCGUAAGUAUUAGCAGUGUGUGGACAGAUAAGCUUGUAUUUGGAAGUGGGACCGAUCUCACAGUUGAACCAAACAAUCAAAAAAGUUCUAACCCAGAAGUUAUUGUGAUGAAAUCAAAGAAAUGGAAAGAUGACAGCAAAGGGAAAGCAGCUUGUUUGGCAAGGAAUUUCUAUACAAAGGACAUCAGCUUGGAGAUGUCUCCUAAUGAGGUCGUAUAUGAACCAAGUACAUCCAUUUUGACAUCAGAGUACUUCUACGAUACUAUUAAGGUGGUUGAUGUAACAAAAGAUCAAAAGGUGACCUGCAGCGCCAAAUUCGACGACAAGACUAUUACAGAUAACAUCACAUUGUCAGAGGAGGCUGAAGAACAAGGAACAGUGAAGGUUUGCAACACCACAGACACCUCUGUACAAGCAGAUACCAAAGUGGAGAAAGCAAACAUGCUGUCUAUGGCUGUAUUGGGUUUGAGAGUCCUGCUGGCAAAAAGUAUCGCCUUCAAUACACUCAUGAGUAUCAAGUUGUUUCUUUUCUGAGACAGCGGGGAAGCAAGGCAACAGCAAUCAGAAGAACAACAGGAGGAAGUGUGUACCAGCAGCACAAGGGGGUGAACAGCCAGUGUCAAGUGUGCUGAUAAUAACCUACCAGAACACAACACAGCACCUUCUCCUUAGGACAUUUUAUACUAUUGAAUCCUGCCUGCUUGUUUAUUUAGUUUUAACAGUUGUAACUGCUUUUGCUAUUUCUUUCUCUCUGUGAACCGAGGAGAGUGUAUUUUUCCUCAUCCCACUGAUAAGUAGAAAUUGAUCUAGGCUUUGCAUCCAACCUGCUUCAAUAGUUUUGAAAACUCCAAUCCUCACUAUAGAUAUUUCACUCUGUUAGAAGACAUUUUACAGGCAUGUUACAUUACUGUCCGUAGAACUGAUGUAUCGCUGCUGAGAGAAUUUGGGCACAGUAGAUGCUGUUUAUAGACUUAAUGUUGUUUAGAUAGCUUUAAUAACAUUAGUUUUCUAAUGUAGAUGAGAAGACCUGUGUUGGAUCUGAAGUGAUUCAGUUCAACCAGAUAAUGUUGUUGAGCAUUUCUUUAUUAAACCUGUAUUUCCUCUGCAAAGUGUAUGACAUAUACAUCGUAGUAGUAGUUGAUGUAGUAGUGACCAAAUUAAAGUCUUUCUAAACCAAAA